AGCUGUCCCCAAUCUCUUCAUGCUGGAAACAGUGGAUUCUGUGAAGUUGGCAGAUAAAGUGAACAGUUCCUGGCAGAAAAAAGGUUCUCCUGAAAGGUUAAAGGUUAUGGUCCAGAUUAACACCAGCGGAGAAGAGAGUAAACAUGGCCUCCCACCUUCAGAGACCAUAGCCAUCGUGGAGCACAUAAACACCAAGUGUCCUAACCUGGAGUUUGUGGGGCUGAUGACCAUAGGAAGCUUUGGGCAUGAUCUUAGUCAAGGACCAAAUCCAG
rnacentral:sRNA from 1 species